rnacentral:rRNA from 1 species
GACGGAGGAUGCAAGUGUUAUCCGGAAUCACUGGGCGUAAAGCGUCUGUAGGUGGUUCGAAAAGUCCACUGUUAAAAAAUUGAGGCUUAACUUCAAAGAUGCCGUGGAAACUUUCAAACUAGAGUAUGGUAGGGGUAGAGGGAAUUUCCGAGUGGAGCGGUGAAAUGCGUAGAUAUUGGAAAGACCACCGAUGGCGAAGGCACUCUACUGGGCCAUUACUGACACUGAGAGACGAAAGCUAGGGGAGCAAAUGGG